AUUGAACGCUGGCGGCAGGCCUAACACAUGCAAGUCGAGCGGCUGAAGGGAGCUUGCUCCUGGAUUCAGCGGCGGACGGGUGAGUAAUGCCUAGGAAUCUGCCUGGUAGUGGGGGAUAACGUCCGGAAACGGGCGCUAAUACCGCAUACGUCCUGAGGGAGAAAGUGGGGGAUCUUCGGACCUCACGCUAUCAGAUGAGCCUAUGUCGGAUUAGCUAGUUGGUGGGGUAAAGGCCUACCAAGGCGACGAUCCGUAACUGGUCUGAGAGGAUGAUCAGUCACACUGGAACUGAGACACGGUCCAGACUCCUACGGGAGGCAGCAGUGGGGAAUAUUGGACAAUGGGCGAAAGCCUGAUCCAGCCAUGCCGCGUGUGUGAAGAAGGUCUUCGGAUUGUAAAGCACUUUAAGUUGGGAGGAAGGGCAGUAAGUUAAUACCUUGCUGUGUUGACGUUACCAACAGAAUAAGCACCGGCUAACUUCGUG
rnacentral:rRNA from 1 species